rnacentral:rRNA from 1 species
UAGGGAAUCUUCCACAAUGGACGAAAGUCUGAUGGAGCAACGCCGCGUGAGUGAAGAAGGGUUUCGGCUCGUAAAACUCUGUUGUUAAAGAAGAACAUAUCUGAGAGUAACUGUUCAGGUAUUGACGGUAUUUAACCAGAAAACCACGGCUAACUACGUGCCAG